rnacentral:rRNA from 1 species
UACGAAGGGUGCAAGCGUUAUUCGGAUUUAUUGGGCGUAAAGGGUUCGUAGGCGGGAGAGCAAGUCAAGUGUGAAAUGUCCGGGCUUAACCUGGAGAGUGCAUUUGAAACUGCUUUUCUUGAGUGUUGAAGAGGGUGGUGGAAUUGCUGGUGUAGGAGUGACAUCCGUAGAGAUCAGCAGGAACAUCGGAGGCGAAGGCGGCCACCUGGUCAAAUACUGACGCUGAGGAACGAAAGCAUGGGGAGCAAACAGG